UGGCGUCUUUCCGAACUCCCCUGACCUUCGAGCUUCCAUAAUACCAUCCGGACUUCUCCGACAAUGAGCUCCUCCAUUCAUCUAUCGGGCUGCUCCAAAUGCUUUUUGAGCUUCUCUGAUAGCAGGACGUCUAUAAUAACCAGACUCUAUCCAAAUUUCUACGGUGGUCAACCACCUUCCAGAUUUCAUCCGAGCUCCUACAAGAACCGGACUCCAUCCGAACUUCUACAGUGGAUGGAUCACAGAUGAAAUUCUACGAUGGAUAGGCUCCACCAGAUCUCUACUCCGAACUUCUUUCAGACUUCGUCAAUGAUCGAGCUUCUCUAACAGUGGGACUUCUACAAUAAGAAGUCUCCAUCCGAGCUUUCACGGC
rnacentral:lncRNA from 1 species